rnacentral:pre_miRNA from 14 species
UAUUAAUAUUCUAGAAACCUCUUGUUCUUGAGCUGGAAAGGUGACAUAAAAUCAUGUCCAAGCACGCGAUAUUAUGCACAUUUUCUAGUCCAAGACUUGAUUAAUAAUGGUUUCAUUUUUGA